rnacentral:rRNA from 1 species
AAUUUUUGACAAUGGGGGAAACCCUGAUUCAGCCAGCCCGCGUGUAUGAUGAAGGACUUCGAGUUGUAAAGUACUCUUGGUAGCGAAGAAAAGGUAUCUCUUAAUACGCGAUACUGUUGACGGUAUCUGCAGAUUAAGCACAGGCUACCUACGUGCCAGCAGCCACGGUAAUACGUAGGGUGUAAGCGUUAAUCGGAAUUACUGGGCGGAAAGCGUGUGGAGGCGGUGCGGAAAGAAAGAUGUGAAAUCCCAGGGCUCAACCUUGGAACUGCAUUUUUAACUGCCGAGCUAGAGUAUGUCAGAGGGGGGUAGAAUUCCACGUGUAGCAGUGAAAUGCGUAGAUAUGUGGAGGAAUACCGAUGGCGAAGGCAGCCCCCUGGGAUAAUACUGACACUGAGGUGCGAAAGCGUGGGGAGCAAACA